CUGCGGGCGGGCAGCGCCCAGCGCCUCGGGCCGCGGCUCCGCCACAGCUGCGGCCGCUGCCCCGAGCACAGACGGGCCGCGACGGGACACGGGCUGCGGCCGGAGCAGCGCCGGGGCCAGCGCGCCUUCUCCCGUGCGGGUCGGCCAGGAGCCUCGCUUUAUAGUCAAAACUUGUGCUAUCGAGUAGGCUCUGGGACUCAUCUUCUCCCUCCUGCAGUUUUUCUGAUGCACCUCUUCAGGGUGAGUAGCAAAAGCCCAGACGGCAACAAGCAAAGCAAAGAAAGUCAGAAGUCUAAUCCAGCCCCAGAAGUCUGAUCGUGCCUCUCUCCUGUUCUACCUGCAGACCUAGGAAAAGUAGAAGAGGCAUGUGAUCUCAAUGUCUGUGAUCUUCCUCCUGGAACAGCAUUUCUUGGCUCAGGUGUCUCUGGACUGGCACUGAAGUAUCCUUUGUCCUUUUAUAUGGUUUGUAAUGCUUGGGAAAUGGUACUGGAGGCAAAGCCUUCUAGCAUCCUUCAGAGCAGGGAGUACCAGUUAACUGCACUGACCAUAAAACUGCAAAAAACCAUUUCAAGGCACACCACACCAGUUGAGUGGAUGGAACAAUGGAGUCUGCCCAAAUAUUUUACCAACAUGGAAGAUGGGGAUGAGCAUCCAGUCCUCUGGUUUAAGAGGAGACUGUCAAGGUUCCAGGUCCAGAGAGGAACUGGAGGGCAGACAUCAGUUCCAUACUCCGCUCAUCCAUGUCCUUGCAUGGACAGUUGCACCAAGAAAAAUCAAAAUACUGCCCUACACCAGCAGCAGCACUUCAUGAUCGUUCCUACUCCCCUGUCUCUUAUAUAAUAAAUGUGGGGUAGUGAAAAUCCUUCUCAAUAAUAUGUGUCUCACAAAUAGAGGAAAACUACAUCAUGCAUAAAGGAACUUUCACAAAAAGAAUGGCAUUUCUCACUGCAUUUCUCAAUGCAAAUUCAUUGUCUUUUAAUAAAACAACUCUGGGCUUUUUAAAUACAAGCUGUUAUCUGUAAAUGUCACUGGAACCAUAUUGUAGCUGGUGUGUGAGAGUAUGGAAUAAGCACAUGAGUGUGCUUAUUGAAUGCAACGUGAAUAUACAAUAUGAAUAAAAU